ensembl:lncRNA
CACAAGCAAAUCUAAAACCCAAAAACUGUAAAGGAAAGUAUUGACAGAUCUGGCUGGGGAAAUCGUUAAACCGUUGGAAUAUAAAAGUUGCUAUUAACAAAAUUAAAAGACAAGUGACCGAAUGGAGGAAUAUGCUUCCAAAUGUAUAAUUUGUAAUAACUUAAGGUUCAUAAUAUGUAAAAAGUUCCCACAGGUCAAAAGUGAACAUAAUCUGAGAAGAGAAUAGACUAAAGUUACAAACGGACAAUUCCUAGGAGAGAAAAGAGAAAUGGAUGCUUUCAGCCUUUUAGAGCAAGGAACACAGACAGGACAUAGAAAAUAAAAUGGAAAAAAAUUAUAAGCCACAUCCUUUCCUUUGAGGAAAGCCCCUUUUGCCUCAAUGCCCUUUCCUCCUCUGCUCGUCAGGAAACUCAUUUGUAUUUUCCCCAACUCUGGUCUAAGGAGAAUCCAUCAAGACCUCCCUGUGCCUCCAGUAUAUCUUGUGCAUGCAUCUCCUAUGACCACAUUCAUUGUGUGCUUACCUGUUUGCUUUCUCUCAUUGCCCCCAGAGCUGCAUCCAUCACUUUGUCUUAGUGAUGAAGAUAAUCUCGCUGAAUUCCUGAUACCUUAUCUAAUAUGUGUCCAUAGAACAGACAAUCCAUAAAUGUUUGUGGUAUACUCCAUAAUGGUGCAUCUUGCAGCCACUGACAUAUUAGUUUUGAUGAGCUAUGGUAAUAAUAACACCUAACCUGAUUGGAAAAGACACUGAUGCUGGUAAAGAUUGAAGGCAGGAGGAGAAGGGGAAGACAGAGGAUGAGAUGGUUGGACAUGACUUUGAGUAAGUUUCGGGAGUUGGUGAUGGACAGGGAAGCCUGGUGUGCUGCAGUCCGUGGGGUUGCAAAGAGUCAGACACAACAGAGCAGCUGAACUGAACCAAAUACCUAACCUGUAUUGAGCCCUAUU